rnacentral:rRNA from 1 species
GACGGAGGGUGCAAGCGUUGUUCGGAAUUACUGGGCGUAAAGGGCGCGUAGGCGGUCUGCUAAGUUGGAUGUGAAAACUCUGGGCUUAACCCAGAGCCUGCAUUCAAUACUGACAGGCUAGAGUUCUGGAGGGGAUAGCGGAAUUCCUGGUGUAGCGGUGAAAUGCGUAGAUAUCAGGAGGAACACCGGUGGCGAAGGCGGCUAUCUGGACAGAGUCUGACGCUGAGGCGCGAAAGCUAGGGGAGCAAACAGG